UACGUAGGAUGCGAGCGUGUCCGGAAUUAUUGGGCGUAAAGAGCUUGUAGGCGGUUUGUCGCGUCUGCUGUGAAAAACCCCGAGGCUCAACCUCGGGCCUGCAGUGGGUACGGGCAGACUAGAGUGCGGUAGGGGGAGAUUUGGAAUUCCUGGUGUAGCGGUGGAAUGCGCAGAUAUCAGGAGGAACACCGAUGGCGAAGGCAUCUGCUGG
rnacentral:rRNA from 1 species